GAUUAGCAGCUUCCGGGAAACCAAAGUUUUUCGUUUCCGGGGGAAGUAUGGUUGCAAAGCUGAAACUUAAAGGAAUUGACGGAAGGGCACCACCAGGAGUGGAGCCUGCGGCUUAAUUUGACUCAACACGGGAAAACUCACCCGGCCCGGACACCGUAAGGAUUGACAGACUGAGAGCUCUUUCUUAAUUCGGUGGGUGGUGGUGCAUGGCCGUUCUUAGUUGGUGGAGCGAUUUGUCUGGUUAAUUCCGAUAACGAACGAGACUCUGGCCUAUUAAAUAGACGAUAUAUUUAAAAGUAUAUCGCGCUUCUUAGAGGGACAAGCGGCGUCUAGCCGCAUGAAAUAGAGCAAUAACAGGUCUGUGAUGCCCUUAGAUGUCCGGGGCUGCACGCGCGCUACACUGAAAGAAUCAGUGUGCGUUACGCCUAGUUCGGAAGAACCGGGUAACCCAAGUAAAUUCUUUCGUGCUUGGGAUAGGGAAUUGCAAUUAUUUCCCUUAACGAGGAAUUCCCAGUAAAUGCGGGUCAUAAGCUCGCGUUGAUUACGUC
rnacentral:rRNA from 1 species